UGUAGCUUUUCCAACAGUCUACGUCUCCUCCUAGCUGGUUAUGACGACUUCAACUGCAAUGUCUGGGAUACACUGAAAGCCGAUAGAGCAGGUGUCCUU